rnacentral:rRNA from 1 species
GACGAACGCUGGCGGCGUGCUUAACACAUGCAAGCCGAACGGAAAGGCCCUGCUUUCGUGGGGUGCUCGAGUGGCGAACGGGUGAGUAACACGUGAGUAACCUGCCCUUGACUUUGGGAUAACUUCAGGAAACUGGGGCUAAUACCUGAUAGGAGCUCCUGCUGCAUGGUGGGGGUUGGAAAGUUUCGGCGGUUGGGGAUGGACUCGCGGCUUAUCAGCUUGUUGGUGGGGUAGUGGCUUACCAAGGCUUUGACGGGUAGCCGGCCUGAGAGGGUGACCGGCCACAUUGGGACUGAGAUACGGCCCAGACUCCUACGGGAGGCAGCAGUGGGGAAUAUUGCACAAUGGGCGGAAGCCUGAUGCAGCAACGCCGCGUGCGGGAUGACGGCCUUCGAGUUGUAAACCGCUUUCGCCUGUGACGAAGCGUGAGUGACGGUAAUGGGUAGAGAAGCACCGGCUAACUACGUG